GAGCCGGUAGCUCAGCCUGGUAGAGCACCUGACUUUUAAUCAGGUGGUCGCGAGUUCGAAUCUCGUCCGGCCCA
rnacentral:tRNA from 1 species